rnacentral:rRNA from 1 species
CCUACGGGUGGCUGCAGUGGGGAAUAUUGGACAAUGGGCGAAAGCCUGAUCCAGCCAUGCCGCGUGUGUGAAGAAGGCCUUCGGGUUGUAAAGCACUUUCAGUGGGGAAGAAAGCCUUGGGGCUAAUACCCUCGAGGAAGGACAUCACCCACAGAAGAAGCACCGGCUAACUCCGUGCCAGCAGCCGCGGUAAUACGGAGGGUGCGAGCGUUAAUCGGAAUUACUGGGCGUAAGCGCGCGUAGGCGGUCUGAUAAGCCGGUUGUGAAAGCCCCGGGCUCAACCUGGGAACGGCAUCCGGAGCUGUCAGGUGAGAGGGCAGGAGAGGAAGGGAGAAUUCCCGGUGUAGCGGGGAAAUGCGUGCAGAUCGGGAGGAAUACCAGUGGCGAAGGCGGCCUUCUGGACUGACACUGACGCUGAGGUGCGUAAGCGUGGGUAGCACGCAGGAUGAGAUACCCGUGUAGUC